UACAGAGGUCCCAAGCGUUGUUCGGAUUCACUGGGCGUAAAGGGUGCGUAGGUGGUCGGGUAAGUCUGAUGUGAAAUCUCCGAGCUUAACUCGGAAAUGGCAUUGGAUACUACUUGGCUAGAGAGUCGGAGGGGGGACUGGAAUUCUCGGUGUAGCAGUGAAAUGCGUAGAUAUCGAGAGGAACACCAGUGGCGAAGGCGAGUCCCUGGACGACUUCUGACACUGAGGCACGAAAGCUAGGGGAGCAAACAGG
rnacentral:rRNA from 1 species